UACGUAGGGUGCAAGCGUUGUCCGGAAUUAUUGGGCGUAAAGAGCUCGUAGGCGGUCCUUUAAGUCUGAUGUGAAAGCCCACGGCUCAACCGUGGAGGGUCAUUGGAAACUGGGGGACUUGAGUGCAGGAGAGAAGAGUGGAAUUCCACGUGUAGCGGUGAAAUGCGUAGAGAUGUGGAGGAACACCAGUGGCGAAGGCGA
rnacentral:rRNA from 1 species